UUUUUUUGAUUAAAAAGAUAACGAUAUUCAUUCAUUCCAAUAAUUGAUAUAGUACAUCAGAUCCAAAUACACAUUCAACAUCGCUAAAAACAAAAAGGAUGAAUCUGCGAACAAACUCACAGCAUCCGUGUUAAUAGCAUACAACGGCAAAAUGCCUACAAAUAAUAAUAUGAUAAAACUAAAGUCACCGAAAUAUCCAUGCUUCCGGAUCUGCAACGUUGAUGCCCAAAUCAUUGAUAGUAUCAUGAGUUAGUAUCAUUGGAAGAAAACGCUUGAGGUAAGGGCUUUUUCCCCAUACAUUCAUGCUACAUAGGGAUUAUGUUAUGGAAUGAUAGUAGAAUCUUUGUCUAUUAAGAGAAAACUAAUUAAAAGAAGCUAGUAAAAAGAAAUUUAGCUAUUAUUUACUUGAAUAUUUGUUCUUAAUUUAAUUAAUAUGUAUUCUGCCAAAAUUGUCAAUUGAUAUCUCUUGUUUUGUGAAACAAUUUAUUGUGUAUACUGAUUUGAUCAUGUUAUAUGUGCAUGUAUUGUGAGGCUGCUCCAAUCCGUAUAAAGCUUUGUUGGGAAUUUUAUUUAAUAAACUUGUGUUUAGUAAAAAGCAGGGGAUACGUAUAUAUAUAAAAGUAUAUGGAGAUCAGUGUUUCUAAUUAUUUUUAGUUACUGGCCGUGAGGUUUUAUUUUUAUAGAGAUAUAUGGAAGACUAGUUCUUGCAGUUUUUGUUUGAUGUGCGUGUUUAAAAAUAAUAUUUUCUCAUGGUUUUAUUAUAGCCUUUGUGGCAUUAUUAUCUUCGUGGCUUAGUGGCUUCGUGGCUUAGUGGAAGGCCUUAAUGACAAAUACUCAAUCGCCUUUGUAGCACUAUUAACUUUGUGGCUUAGUGGCUGAGUGGCUUAGUGGAAGGCCUUAACGACAAUUAUUAUUAUUACAGUUCUUGUGACAGAUUUUCCCAUUGGAAUGAAUUCUUUUAUUUGCACUAUUCGAAUAUAUUUAUUUUACAAUUUGAUCAGUGGUAUUGCGAAUCAUUUGACCAAAAAUUUUGAACAAUAAAUUAAUUAUAUUUUUUUUGAAAAUCUUUUGAUUGGUGAAGAGUUUUAUUAUUGUUUAAUGACAUUUUUCUUAUGGUGAGUAUGAUUCAAUGUGGAUAAGGAAACUGACCCUUACAACCAACAUUUUAGGUACUCAAGGAGAAAGUUUUGACUAAAUGUGAUGCUUGAAGCACGUAUGUACGGG
rnacentral:lncRNA from 1 species